UCCUACUCUCUCCCAGAAACAGCAGCUCCUGAGUGCUCUGGCAGCCAUGGAGUCUCCUAUACAGUCCAAGAUGCUGCCUCCAUGGCCUCGGCUGGUCCCGGGGGUGAGGAAUGCCACAGGCUGUUACUCCAUUCCCCAAGCCUAACGUUCAGGCUCUGCAGCUGCAAGUCACUGGGGCCACUUCCCCAAAUCCCAGACACCCAGGAGUCCUAUGUGGCAGGCACUCCUUGUUUUAAAUUCUGGGAACAUCGGCUGUCGCCAUACAUUUAAUAUAGUGAUUAAAUAACAGGAGGACCUGAAGUAUCUUGGAAGGAAAACCUUCAUUGUUUGCAGGAACAGGCGAUCCUCUGAAAAUGCCUAUUCACAAAUGCACUUUAUUAAAAAACACAAACACACAUGCAGACUGAAAACGAGAGAACCACGGCCCCUGCUACAGCGAACACUGCCACGGAAUGGUGUCUGCGGAAGACCAAUAUCAUAAGGUGGAAAAAUAAAGGAAAUAAAAGAGCAAAUAAGAGGAAACGACAGCUCUCCUAAAAGCUGAUUUCAUGCCAUGUAUCUCUGGUAUAAUGGCGCGUGUUAGAGCUAAAAUUGAGGGCUUCAAAAACUGUUACCUGAGUUCUGAGUUUAAUCAUAUCGGCUUCCAUCUGGGAAUUGGAUUCAUUUAGCUCCUUGAUUUCUUCAUCUAACUGUUUGAUUUCUUCAUCAUUUUCUAUACCUGUAAUAAUGAAUAUUAGUAUGUUAAAACUGUUAUAUACAAAAAUAUUAGAGUUAGAAUUUUGGGAGCUUUCUUUGUUCCUUUUAUAUUCGUAAUUGAAUUUGCUUGGAAAAUAGACUCUUGAAUUAGAAAGGAAAAAAUCAUCACAAUCUCUGUGUCUUUCUAUUCCCUACCACCGCCCCUUCCCCACCUAAGUUCCCCUACAAAAAGGAACAAACAAUUGAGACGCACAGAAGACUCCCAGGCACUUUGAGGGUCGAGCUCCCAGGGACAGUUAACCUGGGUCUUAGAUGUAUCGAGGCAGAAACCACCUGGUCCUGAGUGCCGAUUUGCUGAGCCUGGCCUGUUUUCUCCUGCUUUUGUUCUCUCUCUCGACUCGCUGUCUGCAUCAGUCAUUCUGCAAACACCCCAGGCUUGGAGCCAGGCUCUGCAGGUACGUUCACCAACAAGGCCAGGUCCUCCCGCCCUCACUCAGGUCAGGUUCUGGGUCGGAAAAUGGGCAACAGACGUGUAACGACAAAUGCCGUCCAGCAAACGCUGAGGAUGACCUCACCUUACCCACCGACAGGAAGCUGUGGGAAGUGGGAGAGGGACAUGGGGGCUGGCCGGAGGGAGAUGGCCACAAAAGGGCUCUCUGAAUAUUCGACAUUUAGCAAAUAAAAAAUCUCAUUCUGAAUGAUUAAAAAGUAUGCACUAACUAACAGAAUUCCCAAUUUGUAAACUCUGCCAGAAUGAUGACCUCGGCCAGGUGUGUACCUGACCAUCUGAGUGUCCCUGGUGGGUGACUGCUGCCCUGCCGAGGUCCCUGGGGCACCUGGAUCAGUCCUGGCAUAGCUGGGCACAGGGCCCAGAUGCCCAUAUUUACAAAGGCCAUUCUGGACACUUGCUUCCCUGGCCGGCUGUGUCUGGUUACUGGCAACAUUACACUGCCAACGCCAAAGAGAAGGAGAUUCCUCUCUAUUUGUGACCACUUGACCUCACACAAUUGGGUGUACACAGAAGGAGAGCAGGAGUUUGGCAAACACAAUCACCCUAGAAAAUUCAGGAUUUGAGAUUGCUGUUCUCAUUGGCCACACAGCACCACAAUGGAUCUUUACUCAAAACUAAUGGAAAAUGUAUCCAGGCCUCCUAGGACUCCCAGUGGGUAGAUGCUGUUUUCAAGCUUUGCAGACAGAAGGGCAGAAGGGGUACAAUCAACCAGAGGCCGAGGCCUGAGAGCACCCCAAAAACCCUGCUGACAUCAGCAGAACAGAGGUGGAGGCUCCUCUCUACCAAGACGUUAGAAAGAUGAGAGUAAGAGAAAGUGAUGGAUCAGUGGGAUUGGGCCUUAGAUGCGGCUUUUAGUGAAACGAAAAAAAAGUUAUACCCUCAAGAUAAAAAUACCCAAUGCAAAAAAUCCCAAUUCAUAAAGCAACUAAAUUAUGAACGAACGUAUCAUUUCAGAAGCAUUCCCCACAAGCUUCUGUUAAACUGCAAGCAU
rnacentral:lncRNA from 1 species